CCAGACUCCUACGGGAGGCAGCAGUGGGGAAUAUUGGGCAAUGGGCGCAAGCCUGACCCAGCAACGCCGCGUGAAGGAAGAAGGCUUUCGGGUUGUAAACUUCUUUUCUGGGGGACGAAGAAAGUGACGGUACCCCAGGAAUAAGCCACGGCUAACUACGUGCCAGCAGCCGCGGUAAUACGUAGGUGGCAAGCGUUAUCCGGAUUUAUUGGGUGUAAAGGGCGUGUAGGCGGGAGUGCAAGUCAGAUGUGAAAACCACGGGCUCAACCUGUGGCCUGCAUUUGAAACUGUACUUCUUGAGUGCUGGAGAGGCAGACGGAAUUCCUAGUGUAGCGGUGAAAUGCGUAGAUAUUAGGAGGAACACCAGUGGCGAAGGCGGUCUGCUGGACAGCAACUGACGCUGAGGCGCGAAAGCGUGGGGAGCAAACAGGAUUAGAUACCCCUGUACU
rnacentral:rRNA from 1 species